GACAUAGGUGGCAAACGUUAUCCGGAUUUAUUGGGCGUAAAGGGUGCGUAGGCGGCGGAGUAAGUUGGGUGUGAAAUCCCGGGGCUUAACCUCGGAAUGGCAUUCAAUACUGCUUCGCUUGAGUACUGGAGAGGAGGCUGGAAUUUACGGUGUAGCAGUGAAAUGCGUAGAUAUCGUAAGGAAGGCCGGUGGCGAAAGCGAGCCUCUGGACAGUUACUGACGCUGAUGCACGAAGGCCAGGGGAGCAAACGGG
rnacentral:rRNA from 1 species